AGCGUCGGGUGCCUUUCCUUCGGCGGAGGAAGUGGAGGAACGGAGCCGUUUCUUCUGAUUAUGACUUAUGAAAGGCUGGGUAAAGAUCUAAACCCUGAUCUCCCCAAGUCUUGUCCAGCAGCCGAACCAGCAACACAACAGGCCAGUAUUAUUAUAUUUACAUGUUAUUGCAUUAACACAUUACUAAUACCUUGUACAUACCUAGUAAAAUCCCUUGAAAUUUCUGAUAAAGGGACUCCCAAUACCAUUUGGUAAUCAAAUGAAAA